AAAGUGGAUAAUAAUGAGUCCUGUUUAAAGAAAGAAAAAGAUUGAGUCUUCCAGAAAGCCUAGAAAGUGACAUCUUCCGAGAAAUUGGAAGCUACCCCGUAAUCAAAAUACAUUCAACAGCAUCUGUAGGAAAAGAUAUUACACCCCAAUUAAUAGAACUGCAUAUUAUGUUGCUUUGCUGCUGAAGACGGUAGACAAAAUAACAUAAAGUAUCUACAGUAAGAGGUGGCAAAUGGGUGGGCUGGGUCUAACUUGGGGUCAAAGCAGGUCAAAUCAAUAAAUGGUUCAUAACCCAACUAGCCCAAAGUUUGCUUGGGUCAAAACGGGUUGGUCAAAGAUGGGGCAAAUAAUAUUAUAACCCAACCCAACAUUGAAAAAACUUCCUUCCUUAUAAAUAUGAGAACCUUACCAAGUAUAAAAGCUAACCCCAGUGCAACGUAAGACUUGAAACAUAAUAUAUGGUUUUAGAACACCUAUAAACAAGGUGCUUCAAUGUUUUCAGAGUGUUCUGAAAGAAAAUGUACUCCCUUGAUUUUAUAUUGUCACUUUUGUUUACCGGUAAUUGAAAAUAGGUUUGUUCAUUUUCUAAAAGUAAAGUAUCGAUAUUUGUAAACUAACUGAUAAGUAUUCUAAGCUGUACGUUAUAUUAAAAUAAUGAAAUAAUACAUCUAAAUAUCACUAAAAGCUUAUAAAUAUGAUUGCCGAAAAAUGAGAAGUGAUAAUUCAAGCAGUAUCUAUUUUCAUUAGAAUGCUUUUCUUUUUCUUUUUGUUAUUGCCUCUAAAACUUUAGACAGUGAAACAAGAAAUCAACACACUUCAUUCAAUUCACCAAGUGUUCUAGAACCACACAUUAUCAAAUGCAUAAAAACUUUACAUGACUAAUUGAUAUCAUCAGAAUUCACAAUAUUACAUUAAUCAAAGUUAACUCCAACACGGAAAAGAAAAGAAAAUAAAAGAAAAACAUCACUUUUGAUGAAGAAAAAAUACAAAUCAAAUCCAGCAUCAGAUAUACCAGCAUAAAAUCCAGUACCUUAAUCCGUUGGGUCUCUUUGAGAAACCGAUAGAGGAAGUCAGAAGAGCUUGAUCUCUAUGAGAUAUCAGUAAAUGAGAAACUAAACCUGUUGGGUUGUGUGGAAUUUCAACCCGCCGGGUUACAUGAUUUAAUCCCAAUUCUGACCCACUAUGUUCAUGGGUCAUGUUGGGUCAACCCAUUAGCUGUUUUAAUAAUAACACAACCCAUUUAAGUUCAGGCAGGUUCGGCCGAUUACACAAUAAUGAUCUAUUUUCGCCACAUCUAAUCUACACUUUCACACAUAAAAAAGCAGGUCGGGUGUUAGAUACUCAUAAAGAGACUUCUCACUCAUUUACAUGAGCUCAUAAUACAGGAAAAGAGCUAUCUUUGCACCUUCUUAAGCU
rnacentral:lncRNA from 1 species